AAUUUAAGAAUCAACGCUAAGUUCGCGCCAUCCUGCCGCAACGCCUUGUACCCACGUCCUGUGGG
rfam:Bacillus alcalophilus ATCC 27647 = CGMCC 1.3604 strain AV1934 contig00039, whole genome shotgun sequence.